UACGUAGGAUGCUAGCGUUGUCCGGAUUUACUGGGCGUAAAGCGCGCGCAGGCGGCACUGUAAGUAAGGUGUGAAAUCUCCCUGCUCAACGGGGAGGGUGCACUUUAGACUGCAGAGCUAGAGGACGGUAGAGGGGGGUGGAAUUGCUGGUGUAGCGGUGAAAUGCGUAGAGAUCAGCAGGAACACCCGUGGCGAAGGCGGCCCCCUGGGCCGAACCUGACGCUGAGGCGCGGAAGGCUAGGGGAGCGAACGGG
rnacentral:rRNA from 1 species